CAGAGGUUACUGCUAUCKRGRYUCGACUAAGCCAUGCGAGUUGAAUGUUCUUCGUGAACAUGGCGGACUGCUCAGUAACACGUGGACAACCUACCCUUGGGUCCGGCAUAAUCCUGGGAAACUGGGAAUAAUUCCGGAUAGGUCACCGAUGCUGGAAUGCGCGGUGGCCGAAAGCUCCGGCGCCCGAGGAUGGGUCUGCGGCCUAUCAGGGUUGUAGUGGGUGUAACGUACCUACUAGCCUACGACGGGUACGGGUUGUGAGAGCAAGAGCCCGGAGAUGGAUUCUGAGACACGAAUCCAGGCCCUACGGGGUGCAGCAGGCGCGAAAACUUUACAAUGCGGGAAACCGUGAUAAGGGGAUCUCGAGUGCCAGCAUAUAAUGUUGGCUGUCCAGAUGCCUAAAAAGCAUCUGUUAGCAAGGGCCGGGCAAGACCGGUGCCAGCCGCCGCGGUAACACCGGCGGCCCGAGUGGUAACCGCUAUUAUUGGGUCUAAAGGGUCUGUAGCCGGCCAGGUAAGUCCCUUGGGAAAUCUGGCAGCUCAACUGUCAGGCUGCUAGGGGAUACUGUUUGGCUUGGGACCGGGAGAGGUGAGAGGUACCUUGGGGGUAGGGGUGAAAUCUUGUGAUCCUCGAGGGACCACCAGUGGCGAAGGCGUCUCACCAGAACGGGUCCGACGGUAAGGGACGAAAGCUAGGGGCACGAACCGGAUUAGAUACCCGGGUAGUCCUAGCCGUAAACGAUGCUCGCUAGGUGUCAGUCACGGUGCGACCGUGAUUGGUGCCGUAGGGAAGCCGUGAAGCGAGCCACCUGGGAAGUAUGGCCGCAAGGCUGAAACUUAAAGGAAUUGGCGGGGGAGCACUACAWCSGKUGGAGCCUGCGGUUUAUUG
rnacentral:rRNA from 1 species